UCUAAAUUUCAGCACUAAUUUACAUGGACUUUCUGCUUGCCAGCCAAUUAGCUAAGUUGCCUAAAAUGAAUUUAGACACCAAAGGAUGCUGCUAUUAAUUAUGUUACUUCAUUCGUUUUUGGAAGUAUGAAAUGUUUGCUACAGUAUGUUAUCUGUGUGGUUAGGUUAAGUUUGGUAGUUUACCCAGGCUAGCGAGGUAAGCUAACAUUACCUAUCAGAAAGAUCACGUUAGCUAGAACAGACACCGUCUAGAACCAUCCUUGCAGUUGUCAGCAGUCAAGUCCUAAAAUCUUAAGCAGAGUACCAAAUUGGGGAGUAGACAUUUCGUAAUUGUUUGUCUGGGAUCAACAAUUUACACGUAUAAAAACAUUUUGCUGACAUUAGGUAUGGCGAACCAUCAGGCAGAUAGCUAACUCUAGCCAAACCAGUGAACUUCGUUAGCUACCGAAUUUGACGGCGAUAAUGACGUCGUGGUCCUGUCGCAGAGAUGCGGAUCCAAAGAUACGCCUGAGAGACGACGCACGCCAUCACUUAGCAACCAGUCUAAAGGAUGCUUGUUGUUAGGACGCAGGGACCAUCGCGGAGCAGCGUUAUUAGACAGAUGCCAUCUUGGGGCGUGCAUCGGUAGUGGGGGGGGACCUGCUAGUGACCACUAUGUUGGUCGAGUGAAAUAAACCGCAUAGAACCCACAAUUCUAUCUAAAGCAUUGUCCACACGGGGGAGUCUUUUUUAAAUUAUGGCAUUCUGCUGCCUGCAGUCUACACAAAACUGGAGGAAGCCAUCUUUUGUUCUUACCAACACUGCCAGGGAGGCCCACAGGCUUCCUGAGGGGGCGAAUGACGCCAGCUGCAGCCACUUCCCUAAUUUUUACCUCUGCUUCUGCUCUCUGUGCCAAUGGGAGGCACCGUGGUCAUUGGCGGAUAGCUAGGACAGCAUCUGUGAUGAUGCUGUGUCUAGUGACAUUGGUCCAUGCACCCUCACUGUCUGUGGCCACAAACAGAUACUGGGAUUCAGACAGAAUAGUGUGCAGCUGGUUACACUCCCCAUGACCCCAAGCCCCUCACUACCGCCCUGCAACAUUUCUUCUACCGCCAUCUCCAGGGUAGCUGAGCUGCCCUCUCUGCCAAGGUACCGCCGCCGUCAUUAGCUGUGUCUUGCAUUAUUGACAAGUGUUACAGCUAAAAUGACAUUGCUCUUAAGGUACAAGCUAAUCGCUUUUUAUAGGACUAAAAUCAGUACCGUUUGUUCUAGUAUCAGAGUGAGGUCCCAUUGCCAGACAGCUGGUUUCUCCUUGGAGUAAUCAUAGCAACAGGUUAUAAAGGUUUAUUCACAAAGCCAAUAGCUAAGUUUAAAUAUGCGGAUAGCAUAUUUGGAAAUAUUAACGCAGUAUAGUGUGGAUUAGAGUACAAAUGGUACAGCCGACUAGCUGCUAUAGCACUUCACGAUUACGUGACUGCAUAUUAUAUAUGAUAUUACGGUAUGCCAAUUUGCAAUUGAAAAUCCUGUUUUAUAAAUGCAAGAUGCAUGUCUGUUGUAAUAUUAUUGUUAAGUUAACACUAUUAUAAGUAUUUUCUUAUUAAUCAGCUUGGUAGCUCACUUCACAAGGACAACAAACAUGGCAGCAUUUUGUGUGUCCUACUGGCUAAAAAUAGUAUCAGAUGAACUAAAUCAUUCUGAUUGGCCAAAUAAUGGUCAGAUUUGGGGUACAUAUUGGGAGGAUGAUGUUUCCAAGUAAAUUCAUUUUAAUGCCAAUUUUUUCAUCCUUAAUUGCUAAUAUGCAAUAUAUAUACUAAUCUAUAAUGAGUAUCAUUAAGAUUUUGAAUAGCAUAUAUCUGCACAUAUAGAACGUAGACUAAUAUGAUAUUCAUUUUGUAUGGGUAGUAUAAAAUCCAUUAGGACUAGAUAGUGUUCAUGAAAUGGGAAGAAAGUUCCUGAGAAAGUAAAGUAAACAAAUUAUUUCUGAUAUGGUAAGUACUUGAUGCUUAUAAUGGGUGUGGCUAGGGCAAUGAAAAGCAUUCACAACCAUCUAUGAACUAAGGCUAAAUUUGCUAUAUAGGAAAGUACGCAAACCGAGCUAUCAGAAUAAAAAAGCAACCUUUCGGCAUGAAACCCAGAAAAUAAAAAAACCCAAUGCAUUUUGAUAUUCAGCCAUCUAAACAAAAUGGCAACUUACAAAUGUGUGAUUAUUCAAUGAACCACUGUGCCAUUUCCUGCUUCUGCUGCUCCAUAAAAUAGAGCAGUUUGAUCACCAUUAUCUUGGCAGUAUGAAUCGAAAGCUGAAUGUUGAAAUUUGUUUAAAAUAGCCUUUUCCGGGAACAGCAAUUGUGUGUUUUACUUCGAAUAAGCCUCUUAAAUGUAUGCAAAUUUUCAGAUUUGAAGUCUGUGCUACUUGGUCGGAGUUCAUUUCCAGCCGGAGAUAAGGCUUUUGAAAAUAUAUUUUCCCGUCUGGACCGGUGCUGUGCGGGAUCCUGUUCUCAUGCACUGAGCAAGUCAUCUGUGACCAUCAGCGAAGAGCCUGAGCAGAGCCCAUGAAUUAGUUCUCAACAGAAUGUGACCUGCGGUGCCAAGAAGCUACCCUCGCCAGAAUUUACAAUUCAGAGCACUGCCUCACUCAAAUCUUAAAGACCCAAUCAUUGCAGCGACUCUGUGACAGAGCCACAGUUAUGAUGUUUGUUAAAUGAACCAUAAAUCCAAUCUGCACGUUGUUCUGAACUGAAUCCAAACAAGGAGGAUGAAGUGCCAGUGCACAGGGUUAUAUUCU